CAGAGGAUAGUUUAAACGAAGAAUAUUAGCUUUGGGAGUUAAUAGUAAGGGUUGAAAUCCCUUUUCUCUGA